rnacentral:lncRNA from 10 species
CAGCUGUAAGCAACAAGGCUGAAGUCUCUGCUGCUCCACAACCUACCUGCCAGUUUGGUCACAGGUAUCUCCCAAGAUACACAAUCACCUGGAGUGGAAGCUUCAGGACAACAGGGCUGGGAACCUGCGUGUUUCAGAUAAGAUACCUCUUGGAUACCUCUUGAUUCACUCUUCUUCCUGCCACUGUGGUGAGGAUCAUUGAGUCUUUGACCAGCUUUAUGCAGAUCAGCUGGGACUAAGCCCACACAAGGAGCUGAAGACACAUCUUGUAAGAGUCUUGUUUUACUUCUGCAUGGUUUCAUACUCACGGGAUGUGCUCUACCUGAGG